GGCGGGAGUGGAUUCCCACUCCCAUCUCUCCCCAUGGGAGCCUCACUCCCACUUCCCACUCCAAAAAUAGGUGGAGCCCACAGAGUGAAAUAAACGCUGGAGUGUAAAGAAUCAACACUCCUCACUUUCACUCCAGAAAAUAAACACAACCUAAGUAAAAAUCAUGAGAAGUGGAGAUCUUGAGAGUGUGGAGUGAGAGUGUGAGUAAGUUGUUUACUUCCACUUGAAUGAAAGUAAGAAAUAGAGAUCAGAAUCCAAUUUAUGUGUUUACUUUGUCUUCGAUUGUGAGUAAAUAUUUUUAAAUUAUAAUUUUAUCAUAUUUAAAGAAUUGUAGUUUUUA
rnacentral:lncRNA from 1 species